CGGCAGUGCACUGAGGGAGCUGCACUGGCAGCAGGGAGAUAAACCGGAGGGGCACAGGCUGCGUGGGCCAAGUGGCCUCUCCUUGACCAGCAAUCCCUUAUGUCUGUGGGAGAUGGAGUGGGACAGGAGCAGCAGGAAGCCUCCUCCAAUCCUUUCUAGCAGUUCCUCAGAAUAAAUUGUAGAUAAGAGGAAAGGCAGCUGAGAAUGCAAAGACAAAGAAAAGAGCUGCAGCCUUUUGCAGAAAAAAUGAGUAGGUACCUGUAGUGAGGUACAUACAGUGAUUGAUAGUUGGCCUCUGACUUGCUUUGUUUUUUGUUUAUUUUAUUUCCAGUAAUUGUUUCCUGAUUGGAAACAUAGAGAGGGGAAAAAAGACAAAUGAUUUGCGUGUUUCCUGUUGUAACAGCGGAGUGAAGGAAGGCUCCCUGGAGAGAAAGUUCAUUAGCAUCCCAAGGGCUCAGCCCAAGGUGUGUUUGCCCAUCUGCUCCAGGAAGGAGUGA
rnacentral:lncRNA from 1 species